AGCAAGAGGACCGCGCUGGGAGCCAUGGGGAAGCUUAUAGGAGGCCCCAGAUGGACCAGCGUGCGCCCCCCGCCCCCCGUCCUUCUUCCCGUGGGCGUGUUACCUGGUCGCCGCUCAUCCAUCAUAGCUACAAAUUCUGGUGUGGGGGCCGGGGCCAUUACCUCGCCCUAACUGCCGAGUUGAGUUGGCUGGGAGUCUCCUUCGCCGUUGUUGACCACGGAGUGAGAGAAAAAAAGAUUGAUUGAUAGUUUAUUGCUGCAGGUAUACUACAGAGGAGAAGGGAGGAACCUGCCAUCCUAACCCCCAAGCAGUACAGAGAUGCAGCAAGGCUAGGUGUGUAUAGCUGGAUGGCAGAUCGAAUUAAGUAGCUUGCCUUAAUUUGCAACAUUUCUAACUUUGUCUUUUAUUAGUAUUUCCCUUUCCCAUCAGAACUUAUGUUGUAUUUUUUUUUUCAUUAUUGUUUAUAAAUAGUAUGGGACACAGGCCAAGUUAGGGUAAAACAUGAAGAAAAGUGCCACUCUUAAAUUCAUAGCAGGAGACAGCUAAGGAAGAAGCCGAAAACGGCCUGUCAAAUUUAGUGUAUUAUUUUCAGGCGUUAAUACAUCAGCCGUUUUUUGCCGCUUUGUAUGAAAUGUAGAAAAUCACCUUAAAAGCAAAGUGUAUGUAAAUUGAUGUAUGUACACUGACUGCAGCGUGUGUGAAACAUAUGUUGGGUACGUCGCUUGGCUGAGGUGUGAUUAAAUUGUCGAGGUUUAUAUUACUGAAGAAAAUACAUUGCCCCUAUUAAUAUUAAAGUAUGACAUGCCGUGAUGCAUUAGUUACGGUAGCAUGCUAUAAGUAGGGGGGCGUGGCCCACCCAGUUGUUCAUCCUUUAAUUAGGAGUGGUCGGUAAAUGGGUAUCUGGGGAAACCUGUUAAUGUUAACUUGGAUAACCUGGAUGUCACACUCGCCUUGUUCCCUGACCAAUGUAACACAGGCUGGUGGGCCAAUGAGACAGAAGUGAGCACCAAGGUCAUGCGCAUCUAUGGCGUAAUAGAAGAGGAAGCAGACUCCCCAAAAUCCACCCCGAACCGCCUGGAGACCGUGUCGCCUUGAGGUAACACUAAUUUUGCUGAUUCUGCUGCAAAAGAAACUUCAGUUUUGGAAACUAUUGGCUGGCUGGUGCAGCUAGGUUGCUGUCUGUUCUGAUCCAGGAUGUUGUGUUCUCUCACCUACAUGAAGUCUUAACUGUCCUAAACUUUUUGUAGGCCAUGUAACAUCAUUUCCAUGGCUAGUGAUGACAGCCUCAGAUACGGACACUAAACAUUCUGUUGUCAAAUCGUGGAGGCUACACUUCAACCAAGCAAAAUAUGCUAUUCUUGCUGUCACAGAGGUAAUACACCUUGGGACAACAUUGGUUCUCUUCCAAAAUAUAACCUACAUGAUAAUGACCUAAUAUUGCAUGACUGUCACGAGGAUCCUGGUAUUUAUGUUAAAAUUAUUUGAAGAUUCCACACAGAUCAACUGUUUAUAAAGCUGCAGGUCUAGUAAAUAACUUGUUAAAUCUACUUUUCAUAUUGUUCCCAGGAAUUUAUCAUAGUCUUGUUUGAAUCCUAUGUAAGACCAAUUCUGGAAUAUGGAUCAUGUCUAUGGGACACAGACUGUCAUUGUGAUCUGGAGUUACUAGUCAAUGCAGUAAAAAUUAAAGCUCUUUCAUGGAUCCCCCCCCCCUCCUCCUCCUGAUAUACAUAGCUUUUACCUUCACUAAAAAGUUGCUUACUUUCUUUUGG